GACGAACCGUGCGAACAUUGUUCGGAAUCACUGGGCUUAAAGGGCGCGUAGGCGGGCUGCCAAGUCCGGGGUGAAAUCCUUCGGCUUAACCGGAGAAUUGCCUGGGAUACUGGCGGUCUUGAGUGAGGUAGGGGCACGCGGAACUUCCGGUGGAGCGGUGAAAUGCGUUGAUAUCGGAAGGGACGCCGGUGGCGAAAGCGGCGUGCUGGCCCUCUUCUGACGCUGAGGCGCGAAAGCCAGGGGAGCGAACGGG
rnacentral:rRNA from 1 species